UAUCUGGUGGGGAGGCUGACCAGGUCUCUGUCUGGUCUCCACACCUCACAGCCGGCCACUACAGAUGUCCACUCUUUUCUACUAAACAUGGCAGAAGGCAGUGUGGAUGCUCCUAAUGCCAGGCAGCUACUGGCAAAAUGCCAGGAGGCCUGCCCUAACCCCCGGCUGGGCGGGGACCUGUUGGACCGUACCAUUGCUGCUGUG